CAGUCUGGCCGUCGUCCUCUGGCGCCUGGCGGCUUGCUGCUCGCGCCCGGCCCCUUCCUGCCUUGCUGGCCCUGCUGCAGUGCUGCUGCUCCGCUGCUCGCCGGCUUCCCGGCUCGCCCGCUCUGCUCCGGCAAGGGCUCCGGCCUCUCCUGGUUCCUGGUCUGCUGGAUUGAAUAAAAGAUGAAGAGGUAUUUUUCAUCCGUGGCAGCAACAGAAGUGUCUACACCCGGGGUUUUAGCCGGAGGAAAUGAAGGGGCUGAGAGGAGUGAAGCAACUCCAGAAAAUGAAACCAAUGCAGAAAUGGGACCACCGCCUUUGACUUCCAACAACCCGCCUUCAAUGUCAACUCGAGAAAGUAAUAUUCCAGAUUCUGCUCGUGGUCAACUGAGGGAAUGUGAUAUUCAACCUGAUCCUGGUCUUAGGAAACCUAUUGAAAGCUUAGAUCCGGACAUUAGAGAUGUCGCUAGAAGGAUGUAUGUAAAUAUGGGUCCAUGCCAACCAACUGGGCAUAAAUUUAAAAAAGAAACUAGAGGAACAUCUUUGAAAAAGAGAUCCUUUCAAGCUAAAUGGUUUGGGAAGCAUUCCGAUUGGUUGGAAUA